rnacentral:lncRNA from 1 species
UAAGCGUCAACGGUCCGCUUGAAGAAUAAUUCAUUGCCACCGCUACUGCUUCCGCCAGUACAGCGAUUCGCGGUGCCCGCAGUCCACACAUCCAAUGCUCGCACCGCGGCGCCACCGUCGCGAGAAAAUGGCGGCCCCCGAGAACGGCUCUGAAUUCU